AGUAGUAUGAUGGUGUGGAUAUUGGAACAGAGCUCUGGUGCCAACAAAUUGGUGUUUCCCAGCAGGAUAUAGAGUUGCUGGGUGGGAUAAUGACUAUGAUGCACCGUUUAUGUCCUUUCCAAUCUAUGUAGUUAUUAAGGUAAAAGGGGGUGACUGGUAGGAAAUAUUUGUGUUUCAUGUGUUAUGGAAAACAUUUUAUUUUGCCCCAAUUGUAACUGUAAUGCUGAAGAGAUGCUUAGUCAGUAUCGGCCAUACCUUUUGUUUUAUAGUGAUGUAUGCUGACUUAUACCAUCUGAUAUUAUUUUGUUUCAGAUACCACAGUAACCACCACGAGGACAGGUUAUGCUAAUAACUACGACAACUUUAUGGACUUUACAUGCUGAACCAACCAUGCAAUUGCUGGGAUGUACAGCUAUCACAGUAACCACCACGAGGACAGGAGUCCCAUAUUUCCUGGUGUCCAUUCACCUCACUCCAUCGCUGCAAGACAAUGAAGGAUACACACACCCUGCUCAAUCUGCUUCUGCUGCUAGUGUACCUAGCAGGAUCAGCUGUGACCACUGAUGGAGGGAAGAUCAGUCCCAGUAGGUAAACCACAGACACAUGACACAAACUAGUCAACGUAUUAUAGUAUGGCAACAUCAUUAUUUGGAGUGUUGGGUCCUCUGGAUUGUACCUGUGGUAGGGCAGUAGUGCUAACAGC
rnacentral:lncRNA from 8 species